GGCCAGACUCCUACGGGAGGCAGCAGUGGGGAAUAUUGCACAAUGGGGGAAACCCUGAUGCAGCGACGCCGCGUGAAGGAUGAAGUAUUUCGGUAUGUAAACUUCUAUCAGCAGGGAAGAAAAUGACGGUACCUGACUAAGAAGCCCCGGCUAACUACGUGCCAGCAGCCGCGGUAAUACGUAGGGGGCAAGCGUUAUCCGGAUUUACUGGGUGUAAAGGGAGCGUAGACGGCAUGGCAAGUCUGAUGUGAAAACCCGGGGCUCAACCCCGGGACUGCAUUGGAAACUGUCAGGCUGGAGUGUCGGAGAGGCAAGUGGAAUUCCUAGUGUAGCGGUGAAAUGCGUAGAUAUUAGGAGGAACACCAGUGGCGAAGGCGACUAUCUGGCACAUAACUGACGCUGAGGAGCGAAAGCGUGGGUAGCAAACAGGAUUAGAUACCCUUGUAAC
rnacentral:rRNA from 1 species